UACGGGGGGGGGCAAGCGUUGUUCGGAAUUACUGGGCGUAAAGGGCUCGUAGGCGGCCAACUAAGUCGGAUGUGAAAUCCCCAGGCUCAACCUGGGAACUGCAUCCGAUACUGGAUGGCUUGAAUCCGGGAGAGGGAUGUGGAAUUCCAGGUGUAGCGGUGAAAUGCGUAGAUAUCUGGAGGAACACCGGUGGCGAAGGCGACAUCCUGGACCGGUAUUGACGCUGAGGCGCGAAAGCCAGGGGGAGCAAAACGGGG
rnacentral:rRNA from 1 species